rnacentral:rRNA from 1 species
CGUUCGGAUUGCAGGCUGAAAUUCGCCUGCAUGAAGCCGGAAUUGCUAGUAAUGGCAGGUCAGCAUACUGCCGUGAAUACGUUCCCGGGCCUUGUACACACCGCCCGUCACACCAUGAGAGUUGGGAAUACCCGAAGCCUGUGAGCUAACGUAAGAGGCAGCAGUCGAAGGUAGAAUCAAUGAUUGGGGUGAAGUCGUAACAAGGUAGC